AACGAACGCUGGCGGCAGGCUUAACACAUGCAAGUCGAGCGCAUCCUUCGGGGUGAGUGGCAGACGGGUGAGUAACGCGUGGGAACGUGCCCUUCAGUUCGGGAUAACCCAGGGAAACUUGGGCUAAUACCGGAUACGUGCGAGAGCAGAAAGAUUUAUCGCUGAAGGAUCGGCCCGCGUCUGAUUAGCUAGUUGGUGGGGUAAUGGCCCACCAAGGCGACGAUCAGUAGCUGGUCUGAGAGGAUGAUCAGCCACAUUGGGACUGAGACACGGCCCAAACUCCUACGGGAGGCAGCAGUGGGGAAUAUUGGACAAUGGGCGCAAGCCUGAUCCAGCCAUGCCGCGUGAGGGAUGAAGGCCUUAGGGUUGUAAAGCUCUUUCGUCCGGGACGAUAAUGACGGUACCGGAAGAAGAAGCCCCGGCUAACUUCGUGCCAGCCGCCGCGGUAA
rnacentral:rRNA from 1 species